rnacentral:rRNA from 1 species
GACGAACGCUGGCGGCGUGCUUAACACAUGCAAGUCGAACGGAAAGGCCCUGCUUUUGUGGGGUGCUCGAUUGGCGAACGGGUGAGUAACACGUGUGUAUCCUGCCCUUGUCUUUGUGAUAACUUCAGGAAACUGGGGCUAUUACCGGAUAGGAGCUCCUGCUGCAUGGUGGGGGUUGGAAAGUUUCGGCGGUUGGGGAUGGACUCGCGGCUUAUCCGCUUGUUGGUGGAGUAGUGGCUUACCAAGGCUUUGACGGGUAGCCGGCCUGAGAGGGUGACCGGCGACAUUGGGACUGAGAUACGGCCCAGACUCGUACGGGAGGCAGCAGUGGGGAAUAUGGCACAAUGGGCGGAAGCCUGAUGCAGCAACGCUGCGUGCGGGAUGACGGCCUUCGGGUUGUAAACCGCUUUCGCCGGUGACGAAGCGUGAGUGACGGUAAUGGGUAAAGAAGCACCGGCUAACUACGUG